rnacentral:lncRNA from 1 species
UCAGGUGGAGAGAGAGAGAGAGGAGGGAGAGAGAGAGUGGGAAACAGAGAGAAAGAGAGAGAGAAGGAAAGAGGGGGAAAGAAAGAGGGUAGACAGGAAGGCGAUAGGGAGGGUGGGUUCACACAUUGAAGCCCCCACAGCUGUCCAGUCCAGGACCAGGGAGGUAGAGAGUAAAGAUGGGCUCCUCUCAGCAGCUCAGAGGACACUACAGAGUUGAGAGGGGGAGCUACCAGCCACAGGUGCUGGUGCAGAGCACAUGGGACGACUGCUUCCUCUGCCACCAUUCUGGCUCCACGCUGAGACAGUGACCAUCCAUUACGGGUCUGUGCCACAGUGUGCCAGUCGGCUCCAGCAGACAGACAGUAUCUUCAGUGACCUCAUCAUCAUGAGACAGUGGUGAGAAUGCCUCUGGUGGAGAAAGCAGUUGCUCCUCUGAAGAUGAAGGAGACAUUCAGUGUGAGAUUCUGGAGAAGCAGAGGGAUGAAGCCAAUCAGAAGCUAUCUGAGAUGGAGGAAGGUGAGCUGCACCAAUCAAUAUCCUUAUAGUGUAUGCAGAAAGUAUUCAGACCCUUUAAUUUCUCCACAUUUUGUUACGCUACAGCCUUAUUCUAAAAUUGAUUAAAUUAAUGUUUUUCGGACCUCCCGGGUGGCGCAGUGGGCUAGCUGUGCCACCAGACUCUGGGUUUGCGCCCAGGUUCUGUCGCAGCCGGCCGUGACCGGGAGGUCCAUGGGGCGACGCACAAUUGGCCUCG